rnacentral:lncRNA from 1 species
UGCAUAUUAAAUAAAAUCUUAAAGCCUAUUUGAUUUCGGUAUGCUUAGUCCGGUCAAAUUUUUUGUCUGACUCGAUCCAAUCAGCGUAUUUGAUAUGUGCAAUAAAAACAAGCACACUUUGACUCGGUUCAUUUGUAUUUUCUUCAUUUUUUAAUAGAACAAACACACUCAUGCAGUUGUAGCUCCGUUCGACAACAAGUCCCUCCCAGCCUUCACUUUCUUUCGUCCUCAAUUACAGUGAGCCUCACCUCUGCCCUCAAUACAUUUCAAUAUCAAUCGACUUCCUUCUCCAUUCUUUUGAUUUACUCCGUUGGUGUUGCCAUUUCGGCAGUUUCUUCUGCCAUGACCACAUCUUCUUCCUCAGGUAAGGUCCAUCGAUUAAUCUGGGUAUGAACUUGAAAUCAUAAAGCUUUUUUUUCCCUUCUCUUAAAUCGAUUUUGGUCUUUGAAGUUGAAAGUUUUUUCUUUUUCCUUUAUGUGUUUUUGAUCUGGAAGUUAUUAUGGAAAAAAUAUAUAUUUAUAUUUAUAAUAGGCCACCAAAGUCGACUAUCUUCAUAAUGUGGUGUCCAUCGAUUUAGUAUGUGUAUCAUUGUUUUUGUUAGAAUAUUAUUUGUUUUGUUCAAUUGUUUUAUUCUCUUUGUAUAGUAUAAUGGAUCCUUUGUAACGGGUGUGUGUAUAUACACACACGCAACCCUAAUUAAGGGGUUUCCACAUUAAUUAGCAUGGUAUUAAGCCUCCUUGCGUAUGCCUCAUAGCAAACUCACGGGGAUCAAUUUUUUCAUCGAUCGAUGUUUCUUCCACUCGAUUUUGUCAUCGUCUGUGGUCGAGUUCCAAAAUAGUAUUUUUCUUCUUUUUUUUUUUUACUGUGUUUGGCUACCUAUUAUGUCUUUGUGCCUGAUAUCCCGAUCUUUUAUUUACUAGGUCUCGCCCUCAAGACGUCGUUGAUCACUUGUUGUUCAAGAUCUCAUCACUUCCCUACAUUAGAAGUUCUACAGAUCAUUUGGUUCCUUCUGCCCAAGGUUAGCUUCUAGUCUAUUAUUUCUUGUCUCUGUUAAAUUUUAUUUUGUUGAUUUUUUCGGGGUCUAAAUGACUGGUUCCGUAGCCUCCUCUUCCGUCAUGUGUUCUAACCCUACAGCCAGUCUGUUGGUCUUUGCACUUACUAAUGUCUACUCACAGCUUAGUUUCAGUUUAUAUGUAAGCGACUCUAAAUAUAAAUUAUUGCGCGAUUUUUAAAGACAUAUGCAAAGGUGCUAAGGUACACGGACAUAUCACUGAAAACUAAGCCCCAAGGAGACGAAGAUGAAGAUUAGGUGGCCAUUGACUUUAGAAUCAAAUCUUUGUUUUCUAGUGAUGAUUGCACCUCAAAAGACCUUUGGGACAAAUUUGAUGAGUUUUUUUCUCAAUAAUAAGAUGUCUCAUAUUCUUCAACUUCAAGAAUAAUUUUGUAAUACCAAGAAAGGCUCCUCUUCCAUUACGGAGUUUUAGCAUUCUCUAAAGAAUUUGGUUGAAGCUCUUCCAGAUUGUGACUCAAAUAUUGAUGAGGUCCUAUAAUAAUAUUGUCGAUGUCAUCACCAACAUGAAACCAUUUCCAUCAUUCCUUGAAGCAAAGAAUAUGAUAUUAAUUCAUGAAACUCAUGAAGAAUCUAUUGAUCCUCUUGGUGAUGCACUUCUCACCUCCUUCUCAACUCUUUACUCAAGCUCGACCCAUGGAAAACCAAGAAAUAAGUUUAAAAAAGGCAAAAAUAAUGGAUGGGUUGCUUCCAUGGGGUAACACUAAUGUUUUUGCUAGUUCUUCUCAUUUUUCAGGUUUUCAAGGCACAAAUGGUCAAUUUCAAGCACUUUAUGAAGCUCUAACUGCUUUUUCUCCACAUUGUGAGAUAUUGUAUGUAUACCCACAUGAUAAACUUGUAAGCCUUCUAGAUCAGUUUAAGGAUUGAGAUAAAAAUGCCAUAAAGCUACGUGCUUACACUAAAUAUAAAAAAAAUAUUAAAUGAAAUAUGUCACAAAAAUUAGAAAACAAAAAAUUGAUAGAAUUAUAUAAACUGUUCGCUAUUAAUGUAAUCUGGAUUACUGAUAUUGGCUACUGGCAAGGACAAUUUACUGGAUUACACUAUAGAUGAUGUUAGAGAUUGAACUUUCAUUUGGAAACAGGCUAUUUGUUAUCUUUGUUUAUGGUUGUUAAAGAAUUAAAUCACCAAGAGUGUCCAAUAAUCUAGCUAAUUGAGGAAUUGAGCCCACUUAUUGUAAUAUAUACCUAGAAAUCAUGUAUAUACAAAACAUAAUAUAUUGUAAUGUCAAUCGACUUCCUCCUCCAUUCUUUUGAUUUCCUCCGUUGGUGUUGCCAUUUCGACAGUUUCUUCUGCCAUGACCACGUCUUCUUCCUCAGGUAAGGUCCAUCGAUUAAUCUGGGUAUGAACUUGAAAUCAUAAAGCUUUUUUUUUCCUUCUCUUAAAUCGAUUUUGGUCUUUGAAGUUGAAAGUUUUUUCUUUUUCCUUUAUGUGUUUUUGAUCAGGAAGCUAUUAUGGAAAAAAUAUAUAUUUAUAUUUACAUUAGGCCACCAAAGUCGACUAUCUUCAUAAUGUGGUGUACAUCGAUUUAGUAUGUGUAUCAUUGUUUUUGUUAGAAUAUUAUUUGUUUUGUUCAAUUGUUUUAUUCUCUUUGUAUAGUAUAAUGGAUCCUUUGUAACGGGUGUGUGUAUAUACACACACACGCAACCCUAAUUAAGGGGUUUCCACAUUAAUUAGCAUGGUAUUAAGCCUCCUUGCGUAUGCCUCAUAGCAAACUCACGGGGAUCNUCUUAAAUCGAUUUUGGUCUUUGAAGUUGAAAGUUUUUUCUUUUUCCUUUAUGUGUUUUUGAUCAGGAAGCUAUUAUGGAAAAAAUAUAUAUUUAUAUUUACAUUAGGCCACCAAAGUCGACUAUCUUCAUAAUGUGGUGUACAUCGAUUUAGUAUGUGUAUCAUUGUUUUUGUUAGAAUAUUAUUUGUUUUGUUCAAUUGUUUUAUUCUCUUUGUAUAGUAUAAUGGAUCCUUUGUAACGGGUGUGUGUAUAUACACACACACGCAACCCUAAUUAAGGGGUUUCCACAUUAAUUAGCAUGGUAUUAAGCCUCCUUGCGUAUGCCUCAUAGCAAACUCACGGGGAUCAAUUUUUUCAUCGAUCGAUGUUUCUUCCACUCGAUUUUGUCAUCGCCUGUAGUCGAGUUCCAAAAUAGUAUUUUUCUUCUUUUUUUUACUGUGUUUGGCUACCUAUUAUGUCUCUGUGCCUGAUAUCCCGAUCUUUUAUUUACUAGGUCUCGCCCUCAAGACGUCGUUGAUCACUUGUUGUUCAAGAUCUCAUCACUUCCCUACAUUAGAAGUUCUACAGAUCAUUUGGUUCCUUCUGCCCAAGGUUAGCUUCUAGUCUAUUAUUUCUUGUCUCUGUUAAAUUUUAAUUUGUUGAUUUUUUCAGGGUCUAAAUGACUGGUUCCGUAGCCUCCUCUUCCGUCAUGUGUUCUAACCUUACUGCCAGUCUGCAGGUCUUUGCACUUACUAAUGUCUACUCACAGCUUAGUUUCAGUUUAUAUGUAAACGACUCUAAAUAUAAAUUAUUGCGCGAUUUUUAAAGACAUGUGCAAAGGUGCUAAGGUACACGGACAUAUCACUGAAAACUAAGCCCUAAGGAGACGAAGAUGAAGAUUAGGUGGCCAUUGCCUUUAGAAUCAGAUCUUGGUUUUCUAGUGAUGAUUGCACCUCAAAAGACCUUUUGGACAAACUUGAUGAGUUUCUUUCUCAAUAAUAAGAUGUCUCAUAUUCUUCAACUUCAAGAAUAAUUUCGUAAUACCAAGAAAGGCUCCUCCUCCAUUAUGGAGUUUUAGCAUUCUCUAAAGAAUUUGGUUGAAGCUCUUGCAGAUUGUGACUCAAGUAUUGAUGAGGUCCUAUAAUAAUAUUGUCGAUGUCAUCACCAACAUGAAACCAUUUCCAUCAUUCCUCGAAACAAAGAAUAUGCUACUAAUUCAUGAAACUCGUGAAGAAUCUAUUGAUCCUCUUGGUGAUGCACCUCUCACCUCCUUCUCAACUCUUUACUCAAGCUCGACCCAUGGAAAAUCAAGAAAUAAGUUUAAUAAAGGCAAAAAUAAUGGAUGGGUUGCUUCCAUGGGGUAACACUAAUGUUUUUGCUAGUUCUUCUCAUUUUUCAGGUUUUCAAGGCGCAAAUGGUCAAUUUCAAGCACUUUAUGAAGCUCUAACUGCUUUUUCUCCACAUUGUGAGAUAUUGUAUGUAUACCCGCAUGCUAAACUUGUAAGCCUUCUAGAUCAGUUUAAGGAUUGAAAUAAAAAUGCCAUAAAGCUACGUGCUUACACUAAAUAUAAAAAAAUAUUAAAUGAAAUAUAUCACAAAAAUUAGAAAACAAAAAAUUGAUAGACUUAUAUAAACUGUUCGCUAUUAAUGUAAUCUGGAUUACUGAUAUUGGCUACUGGCAAGGACAAUUUAUUGGAUUACAAUAUAGAUGAUGUUAGAGAUUGAACUUU